AUUGAACGCUGGCGGCAGGCCUAACACAUGCAAGUCGAACGAGUGGCGGACGGGUGAGUAAUGUCUGGGAAACUGCCUGAUGGAGGGGGAUAACUACUGGAAACGGUAGCUAAUACCGCAAACCAUCAGAUGUGCCCAGAUGGGAUUAGAUUGUGGGUGGGGUAACGGCUCACCAAGGCGAACAUCCAUAGCUGGUUUGAGAGGAUGACCAGCCACAUUGUAAGUGAGACACUGUCCAGACUCCUACGUGAGGCAGAAGUGGGGAAUAUGGCACAAUGGGCGCAAUCCGGAUGCAGCCAUGCCGCGUGUAUGAAGAAGGCCUUCGGGUUGUAAAGUACUUUCAGCGGGGAGGCGUUACCCGCAGAAGAAGCACCGGCUAACUCCGUGCCAGCGGCCGCGGUAAUUC
rnacentral:rRNA from 1 species